AAUGAACGCUGGCGGCAUGCCUAACACAUGCAAGUCGAACGAGACCUUCGGGUCUAGUGGCGCACGGGUGCGUAACGCGUGGGAAUCUGCCCUUGGGUUCGGAAUAACUCGCCGAAAGGCGUGCUAAUACCGGAUGAUGACGUAAGUCCAAAGAUUUAUCGCCCAAGGAUGAGCCCGCGUAGGAUUAGCUAGUUGGUGGGGUAAAGGCCCACCAAGGCGACGAUCCUUAGCUGGUCUGAGAGGAUGAUCAGCCACACUGGGACUGAGACACGGCCCAGACUCCUACGGGAGGCAGCAGUGGGGAAUAUUGGACAAUGGGCGAAAGCCUGAUCCAGCAAUGCCGCGUGAGUGAUGAAGGCCUUAGGGUUGUAAAGCUCUUUUACCCGGGAUGAUAAUGACAGUACCGGGAGAAUAAGCCCCGGCUAACUCCGUGCCAGCAGCAGCCGCGG
rnacentral:rRNA from 1 species